GAUGAACGCUGGCGGCGUGCCUAAUACAUGCAAGUCGAGCGAACAGACGAGGAGCUUGCUCCUCUGACGUUAGCGGCGGACGGGUGAGGAACACGUGGAUAACCUACCUAGAAGACUGGGAUAAGGUCGGGAAACCGAAGCUAAUACCGGAUAAGAGAGUGAACGGCAUGGUUCAAUAGUGAAAGACGGUUUUGCUGUCACUUAUAGAUGGAACCGCGCCGCAUUAGCUAGUUGGUAAGGUAACGGCUUACCAAGGCAACGAUGCGUAGCCGACCUGAGAGGGUGAUCGGCCACACUGGAACUGAGACACGGUCCAGACUCCUACGGGAGGCAGCAGUAGGGAAUCUUCCGCAAUGGGCGAAAGCUUGACGGAGCAACGCCGCGUGAGUGAUGAAGGUCUUCGGAUCGUAAAACUCUGUUAUUAGGGAAGAACAAAUGUGUAAGUAACUAUGCACGUCUUGACGGUACCUACUCAGAAAGCCACGGCUAACUACGUG
rnacentral:rRNA from 1 species